GAUGAACGCUGGCGGCGUGCCUAAUACAUGCAAGUCGAGCGAAUGGAUUAAGAGCUUGCUCUUAUGAAGUUAGCGGCGGACGGGUGAGUAACACGUGGGUAACCUGCCCAUAAGACUGGGAUAACUCCGGGAAACCGGGGCUAAUACCGGAUAACAUUUUGAACCGCAUGGCUCGAAAUUGAAAGGCGGCUUCGCUUGCACCUUCUGGAUGGUCUCGCGUCGCAUUAGCUAGUUGGUGAGGUAACGGCACACCAAGGCAACGAUGCGUAGCCGAACUGAGAGGGUGAUCGGCCACACUGGGACUGAGACACGGCCCAGACUCCUACGGGAGGCAGCAGUAGGGAAUCUUCCGCAAUGGACGAAAGUCUGACGGAGCAACGCCGCGUGAGUGAUGAAGGCUUUCGGGUCGUAAAACUCUGUUGUUAGGGAAGAACAAGUGCUAGUUGAAUAAGCUGACACCUUGACGGUACCUAACCAGAAAGCCACGGCUAACUACGUGCCAGCCGCCGCUGUAA
rnacentral:rRNA from 1 species